AAGUGAAUGAAAAUAGUGCAUAUAUAAGUAAACACAAUUUCAAUUUUUUUUUUUUAAUUUGUUUGAGAAGACGUUUUGUGUUUUGUCUUUUAUGUAAAAAUAUGCCUAGUAAUAAAUAGGGAAAGUAGCCAAGUUGGUUUUCUUUAUCUACUGGAAUGCUUAACCAUUAAAGCUAAUUCUUUUUUUUUUUUGAAAUUACAAGUAAAGCAUACACAAAUUAUAUUAAAAGACUUUAUUUCUUGAAUUUUAGUGAAUAACUCUUAAUUGAGGCAAUGGAUAAAUCUCAAAUUGGAGCAUAUAAUAAGGUAGAAUUACUAUUAGAUUGUUAGGUAUUGUGAUUAUUAAUUAUUUCGUGAUUAUAUUUUUAUAAUUAUAUAAGUAUGCCCUUAACUUUUUGUUUUGUUUAUUAUUUAGUUAUUUUAUUCAAUGUUAAAGCUUUUUGUCAUUGAUAAAGAUUGAAAAGACGAAAAUACCUUCAUUCCCACUAAAAGCGACUCUAUUUUUCUCUUAGUCUAAUUGUACCUCUUCCCCUCCAACCCUCCUUCACCCUAAAACCAUUUUUGCUUUACCCACACUACCCCCUCCCUCCAUCGAACCCACCUACCCAAAGAGAAUUGAUAUCCAUAGUAACAACACCAAUUUGAUGACGCCCAUAAGCAA
rnacentral:misc_RNA from 1 species